AACGAACGCUGGCGGCAUGCCUAACACAUGCAAGUCGAACGGGAUCCUAGCUUGCUAGGUGAGAGUGGCGGACGGGUGAGUAACACGUGGGAAUCUGCCUUUUGGUUCGGGAUAACCGCGGGAAACUGCGGCUAAUACCGAAUGCCCUCGAGAGAGGAAAGAUUUAUCGCCAGAAGAGGAGCCCGCGUCCGAUUAGGUAGUUGGUGGGGUAAAGGCCUACCAAGCCGACGAUCGGUAGCUGGUCUGAGAGGAUGAUCAGCCACACUGGGACUGAGAUAUGGCCCAGACUCCUACGGGAGGCAGCAGUGGGGAAUAUUGGACAAUGGGGGCGAACCCUGAUCCAGCAAUGCCGCGUGAGUGAUGAAGGCCUUAGGGUUGUAAAGGCUCUUUUGCCAGGGAAGAUGAUGACUGUACCUGGAGAAUAAGCCCCGGCUAACUUCGUGCCAGCAGCCGCGGUAAU
rnacentral:rRNA from 1 species